AUUACUUUGGCAGAUUAGUGCGUUGAAUUUAGAAUUCAUUAAUGUGAUUAUUUUACAGGUAAUA
rnacentral:tRNA from 1 species